GCCAGAGUCAGUGACUCCAAACAGUUUCUUAACAACCAUCAGCCCUUCCACUCUGCCUAUUUGCCUCUUCGUUUAAUAGCAUCUAGAGCUCUCAGUAGGUAGGUGUCCAUUUAGCUUUCAUUUUAAAAGAGCCAUUGUGGCCGUGUGGAAGCAUCGAUCACUUGGGUUCUGAAAUCUCGCAUGCAGAAGAACCCAGGUGUCAAUACUACUCCUGGGAAGUGUCAACCCACUUCCACUCUGGGUCCCUAGACCCAUGUGUUUUAAUUAAUCAGGAGCAAAUUUGUGUAAAAACACGUCUGGAUAAAAAUCAAUUUAGCAAAAUUGUUUUUAAGAUAUUUAUACAGAUAAAAUGAUAUAAUUAUUUCUUAGUCUUUCAUAAUGAAGCCAACAUUUAACAAUAAAUUCAAUAUUGCCUUUAAAAAGCCAUUUGUUUAGAUAUCCAAAGAAUACCCAAUACUAUGUUGAACAAGAAUGAAUAGAAGAGGAAAAAA
rnacentral:lncRNA from 10 species